rnacentral:rRNA from 1 species
UAACACGUGAGCAACCUGCCUUUCAGAGGGGGAUAACAGUUGGAAACGACUGCUAAUACCGCAUAACGCUGCGAUGGGGCAUUCCGAUGCAGCCAAAGGAGCAAUCCGCUGGAAGAUGGGCUCGCGGCCGAUUAGCUAGUUGGUGGGGCAACGGCCCACCAAGGCGACGAUCGGUAGCCGGACUGAGAGGUUGAUCGGCCACAUUGGGACUGAGACACGGCCCAGACUCCUACGGAAGGCAGCAG